UUCCUCUUGUCUCUGUCGGCUCGCGCCUUCCCCGCCCCCCCGCCCGCCCGCCUUGUUGCCGCGGCUGUUUAUUUUCCAGGCCGCUCCAGUUGCCGUGGCAACGGCGGCGGGGGAAUUGAUGGCGGGAUGGAGCGGGAACGAGCCUCCCGUUUUGCCUUGUUCGAUUUGCGUCCUGGUUUUUUUGCCCUGCCUUUCCUUUGCCCGUCCUCCCCUCUCCCACGCGCUCUUUAUCCGCACAACAACCCUGUGAGGUGGGCUAGGGAGACAGAGACAGCGAGCGGCCUAAGGUCACACACAGAGACACAAAAACACCAUGCGGCCCAGCUAGGGUUGCCGUGCGUCCUCUUUUUCCAGGACGCACCCUCCUUUUUAAAGACCUAGGCCACUGACCAGCGGUGCCUGGGUCCACCGCCAGGUUUCCAGACGGGGCAGAAGAACCCUCUUCCGAUGGCAGCACUCAUGUCGAUUUUGAAAGAUGUAAACCAGCGGAACAGGCCCCUUGGCAGACCUCAUUUUGGAUGAUCAAGGACAAUGUGCCAGCCUUGAGCGCCUGCUCCUGCUGCCAACUAGCCACGGAGCACAUGGUUAUAGGUUUGAAGGCAAUGGAAGGUGGGCAGGAGAAUAAAGGCUUGCGUGGCACAUUGGGCACAUGUGACUUACGGGGAGCCAAGUCGAGCCUAGCAAGGUCAAAACUGCAGAAGUCUUGGAAGGCAAUUCCUCUGAGAAAGAGAACAGUUUUCAGCAUUUCAUCAGUGGGAUCUGAGGAGUUUGCAAAAUUGGAAUUCUGCUAUAUCCCAUCCCAGGCCAUUGCCGUUUGUUCCUAAUGUUCCAUUGGAGUCUAUAAAACUAACCUUAACCAUUUCUAUUCUCUAGCUUGUUGUAGAACGAUUUUGCUCAAAUGCCUAUUCCAAAGAAAUAAAUUUGAGAAGCGUGAUAGUUUCCCCCCAAAAUCUUCAUUUGUGACUUCAUGGAAUUCACUAUUUUAUCCAUUCACGUUUCACAUUGUCCAGAAGCGUAACACUUUAUUUUAGCUUUAUAACCUUUGUAUAUUGAGUUUUGAUAAUAAUGGUUUUGGAUUUAGCAUCCAUAUUGUAGUUGAGUUCAGUCACAAGAGAGAUAAAGCUAAAGACUGAAAACACUUGAUUAAAAUGAAUCUAAUGUCUCAAAACAUUGUUGUAUUUCCUUUAGUCCAGGAAAUGCCAGCAACACAUACUUGCUGAACUACACAAUUGUGUGUAGUUUUGCCGUAUCCCAAAGUAACAUUCAUUGUCCUGGGCAUUGCCCAAGUACUUAUGCUACAUCUUGAUUUAUGGUAGGUUGUACUUGGAGUAGACCCAUUAUUAUCAAUGAAUAUGACUAAUUUGGGUCUAUUCAUUUCAGCAUUGGCUACAACCUUGUGUAACCCAGGUAUGUACGUCAUGGGUAUUUGUGGAUACAGCACUGUCACUUGAGGCUUUGGUGGUGAGAAGUGUCUCUUUCCAGUUUCAAGUAGUUCACCAGCUACAACUGUUCCUGGACAGGGAUAGUCUGACCAGUGGUCCAUGCCUUGGUAACUUUCUCUUUUGAUUAUUGCAAUAAAUUAUCCUUGAAGCCAGAGAGUCAUUUAGUGCUGAAUGCAAUUACCAGGUGUUUAAUAGGUAUGGAAAGUGUGGUUCAUAUUUCACUGAUCCUUAAAACAACUGCAUUGGCUGCAUAUUCAAUUACAAGCCCAAUCUAAGGUGCUGAUAUUACCUUUAAAGCCAUAGCUAUAUUGCAACUAAAAACAUGAAGUGGUACCUCUCCCUGUAGUUGUCUGCUGCUGCUUUAAGAUCCAGGGGUGUGGUGGAUUUCUCUGUUAUAAUUUAUGCCUGUACUGAUAGGACUAAUAAAGUCCAGGUUACAAACUUUUGAAGAAAUAAAGCCUUGUGCUUGGGGAAUUUAUCUGGGACCUGUUGCAUAUUGGAGCUAGCAUAUUGGAGCUGAGUUUUUGCUUUCAUUUUCCGUGUGUGGUUAUUGCUUUGAUGAUACAAUCCCUUAGUCUGUUGUAAGCCUUUAGCUGACACUUCAACUAAUGUACACACACACACACACACACACACACACACACACAGUGUCUAUGAUCAUUUGAAAUUCCCAAGGUAGGUAUAGUGUGGGGGUACAGGGGUAUGUGGGUGCUAUAUCACCAGUAUUAGAACUGCUGAUUUUAUACACCUGACCUCAGCUCUCCUUUUCCAAAAAUGGAUUCUGCACUUAAAUGGUGUUGCUUGUAGCUGCUGUUGAGAGUCCCACUGGUAUCUUUAUCCAGAGGCAUGAAGGUCUUCUGGGAAAUCUGAUAAUUGCUGUACUGUUACUCUGCUUUUUGGCUUUGUUUGUUGCUUUGUUUGUUGUAUGUGUAUUAUUUGCUUGGUUCUGUGCACUUUCAAUGUCUAUUCCAAUCAUCAUUUUUCCUUUAUAAUACUAAUAGUCCUGGCACUUGAGUUCUGCAGCUCAAACUGAAUUGAUUCCUGGAUAAUACCAAAAUAGGUUUUGGAUGAGUAAAUAAAAAUAAUAAAAUGUGGGAGGAGGAGUUAUUCUUG